UCUCCGAUUGCUUGUUGACACUUGCAAUCGGUCUCCCGCGGCACCCGCUAUCCGACUCGGCCCAACCUUGCAAUCGCACACCAACCUGCGUCUCCUCGCGGCCCCGAAAAUUAUAGGUCUUCAUUUAUUUGCUACGGUGCUCGGGAUCCAACCUCGUGAUUUUUGGACAUCGCCUCGGCCCUCCAGGCGAAAACGAAGCUCAAACAGUCCUUUUCUUCAAUAUCUUUGCACAAGCUCGACGGAUCGCCGAACCGACUUCUCCAAUGCGUCAAAAUACCUAGCAA
rnacentral:lncRNA from 1 species